GGGGAUAACGUUUGGAAACGAACGCUAAUACCGCAUGAGACUACAGUACUACAUGGUACAGUGGCCAAAGGAGCAAUCCGCUGAAAGAUGGGCUCGCGUCCGAUUAGAUAGUUGGCGGGGUAACGACCCACCAAGUCGACGAUCGGUAGCCGGACUGAGAGGUUGAACGGCCACAUUGGGACUGAGACACGGCUCAGACUCCUACGGGAGGCAGCAGUGAGGGAUAUUGGUCAAUGGGGGAAACCCUGAACCAGCAACGCCGCGUGAGGGAAGACGGUUUUCGGAUUGUAAACCUCUGUCCUCUGUGAAGAUAAUGACGGUAGCAGAGGAGGAAGCUCCGGCUAACUACGUGCCAGCAGCCGCGGUAAUACGUAGGGAGCAAGCGUUGUCCGGAUUUACUGGGUGUAAAGGGUGCGUAGGCGGCCUUGCAAGUCAGAAGUGAAAUCCAUGGGCUUAACCCGUGAACUGCUUUUGAAACUGUAGGGCUUGAGUGAAGUAGAGGCAGGCGGAAUUCCCGGUGUAGCGGUGAAAUGCGUAGAGAUCGGGAGGAACACCAGUGGCGAAGGCGGCCUGCUGGGCUUUAACUGACGCUGAAGCACGAAAGCGUGGGUAGCAAACAGGAUUAGAUACCCUGGUAGUCCACGCCGUAAACGAUGA
rnacentral:rRNA from 1 species